rnacentral:rRNA from 1 species
GGGAUAGAAUUCCAGGAGUAGCGGUGAAAUGCGUAGAUAUCUGGAGGAAUACCAAAGGCGAAGGCAGUCCCCUGGUCCGAUACUGACACUGAGGUACGAAAGCGUGGGGAGCAAACAGGAUUAGAUACCCUGGUAGUCCACGCCCUAAACGAUGUCGAUUAGCCAUUGGAAGGACCCCUUCUCCUUUCAGUGACGUAGCUAACGCGUUAAAUCGACCGCCUGGGAAGUACGACCGCAAGGUUAAAACUCAAAGGAAUUGACGGGGACCUGAACAAGCGGUGAAUGAUGUGGAUUAAUUCGAUGCUACGCGAAGAACCUUACCUACCUUUGACAUGGCCAAAGUUCUACCGAGAGGCGGAAGUACUCGUAAGAGGAUUGGCGCACAGGUGCUGCAUGGUUGUCGUCAGUUCGUGUCGUGAGAUGUUGGGUUCAGUCCCGCAACGAACGCAACCCUUAUCUUUAAUUGCUCCUAUUUUAACAGGCACUUUAAAGAAACUGCCAAUGAUAAGUUGGAGGAAGGUGGGGAUCACGUCAAGUCCGCAUGGCCUUUAUAGGUAGGGCUUCACACGUCAUACAAUGGUUAGAACAAAGAGCUGCAAAUUCGUAAGAAGGAGCCAAUCUCACAAACCUAACCUCAGUUCGAAUUGCGGUCUGCAACUCGAGCGCAUGAAGCCGGAAUCGCUAGUAAUCGUGGAUCAGAAUGCCACGGUGAAUACGUUCUUAGGUCUU